GAUGAACGCUGGCGGCGUGCCUAAUACAUGCAAGUCGAGCGAAGCGGGGACGGGUGAGUAACACGUGGAUAACCUCCUAUAAGACUGGGAUAACUUCGGGAAACCGGAGCUAAACCGGAUACUUAUACAUGGAUCCGCGCUGCAUUAGCUAGUUGGUAAGGUAACGGCUUACCAAGGCAACGAUGCAUAUCCGACCUGAGAGGGUGAGAGGCCACACUGGAACUGAGGACCGGUCCAGACCCCUAGGAGAGGCAGAAGUAGGGAAUCUUUCGGAGUGGGCGAAAGCCUGACGGAGCAACGCCGCGUGAGUGAUGAAGGUCUUCGGAUCGUAAAACUCUGUUAUUAGGGAAGCGGUACCUAAUCAGAAAGCAACGGCUAACUACGUGCCAGCAGCCGCGGUAAUAC
rnacentral:rRNA from 1 species